rnacentral:lncRNA from 1 species
UCUUCCAAAGCACACCAUAAGAGCCAUUUAUUAUUUUUCUUUGAUUCUAGAUCAAAGAUUAAUUUCAUCUAUAUUAUAUAUUAAUUAUAUUAAGUAGAUUGUAAGUAGAUUGUAGAUUGCGAUGUAUAUCUAUCAAAUCGUGGCUUCAUGUACCAAAUAUUUCAAUAUCGUUGCGUCCGGUAUUUUUGUUUUGUUCCACCA